GUGCCAGCAGUCGCGNAAUACGGAGGGUGCAAGCGUUAUCCGGAUUCAUUGGGUUUAAAGGGUGCGCAGGUGGGAAUGUAAGUCAGUGGUGAAAUACUGCCGCUUAACGGUAGAACUGCCAUUGAUACUGCAUUUCUUGAGUAUGGUUGAGGUAGGUGGAAUGUGUUGUGUAGCGGUGAAAUGCAUAGAUAUGACACAGAACGCCGAUUGCGAAGNAACUUACUAAGCCAUUACUGACGCUGAGGCACGAAAGCGGGGGUAGCGAACAGGAUUAGAUACCCUGGUAGUCCACGCCGUAAACGAUGUUCACUCGCUGUUUGCGAUACACAGNAAGCGGCUGACGAAAGCUUUAAGUGAACCACCUGGGGAGUACGAUCGCGAGGUUGAAACUCAAAUGAAUUGACGG
rnacentral:rRNA from 1 species